rnacentral:lncRNA from 1 species
UUGAGGUUAGCGAAAACCAAAUACUUUGGCUUCGGAGCUUCUAGACAAUUGACAGUUAGAAUUAUUGGGGACUUAGAAAUUUUACACCCGUAUUUUGAAUUUCUCUAAUAGAUGAGAAUUUCAAAAUACUGGUAAAAUUGCUAAGUCCCCAAGAGGUACCGAACUAUAAGUAACAUAUCCUAUACAUAUAGGUACAUAUUAUUAUAAGAUAAUCUACCAAGCGAAGUGAGGUUUUUCAUUUACUGUCUUAAACUCAAUGAUGUAUAAGUUGUAUAUGAUGUAUAAGUAGUAUAGGUACAAUAUGUAUACUUUUCAAAUUGCCCGUCAAAUCCAGAGAACUGUCAAUUGUCUAGAAGCUCCGAAGCAAAGUAUUUGGUUUUCUCUAGACGCAAGUGUGAACGUGAGCCUUGGAUUGCCAUUGUUUCUCGAGUGUUCGGUCUGAAUCGUAGUGUGCGGGGUCAUUAGACUCAAUUAUUCACCUCUAAUUCUCAGUUCCAAAUUGAUUAAAUAUUACAAUAAAAGUAUAGUGAAGUUAUCCAGCAGCAGUGGAUUUGAAGAAUUUUAGAGCAUACUAUAUCCAAUGAGUUCUACCCCGCACCUACCAUGAAAUCUUAAAGCCACCCUACAACAACACCAAGGCCAGACCACACAGAGAGAAACAAUCAAUAGGCGACCAGCCUGGAUUAUUUCCACAUUUUCUUUUUUUGAGUACCUCCAGCUGCUUUCCA